UUUUUGGUUUCAUCUUGUUUUUCUGAGACAGGGUCUCACUAUGUGGAUCAGCCCUGCUUUCAGUUCACUCUGUAACCCAGGCUGGCCUCAAACUUUUGGUGAUCCUUCUGCUGCAGCCUUUUGUAAAACUAUCUUAUGGCUUCCAAGAUUCUUCUCCCUCAUUUGAUACCUGCCACACUCCAGGGAAGAGGUAAGAGAGACUCACAUGGCCAUUUUACAGGUCAGGAAACUGAGGCCCAGUGAAACCGAGCGUUAUGACAAAGGCCAAGAUCAUUAGAAGCAGAGCUGGACUUUCCCCAAGGCUGGUGCGGGUCCUGACCAGGGUUUCUUUCUGCACCCACUGUCUUUGUAAGCUCUGUUGUCUGUGGCUGGACCGGCAGGAGUUGCAACUUCUGCCUGUGUGUGAGGCUUACUGGACAUAGUGGGGACCAAGCUGCUUGUGCUGAAGAAUCACAUUUACAUUUGGAUGUGCUUGGAGGGGCCACGGUGAAUCUCCAAGAUCCCUCUACCCAUGUUUGUGAUGAAGACCACAGGGCACCCACUCAGCCUGGCGCAGACCUCGGGAUUGCCUGAGAGGUUUCCAGAAGCUUCAUGUGAGCGCCGCCAUGAACUGUGGCCCAGCCAUGCCACCUUGCCUUGGAGCCAACUGAGUAUGGACUGAAACCUCCAAAAACUGAUCGUGGCUUCUGUGAUGGCCCUCCACGCUGGACCGUGAAUUUCUCCGAGGCAGACCUUUGUUCCUCCAGCACAGGGACCUCGACAUCUAGCAUGAUGCACACUUCGUAUGCCCUCAGCCUUUGGACUCCAAGGACUGCCCUGUGGCCAUGAUGCCAUUGCACUCCACCUCUGCUAGAUGGCGCUGCAGCCCACAGGACUGCAGCCGCGGGAGCGCUGCAGAGCCGCGGGUUCCGCCAGCGGGGGCGCCCAGUUCCAGGCCCCUUUUAAGCUACCGGGGCCAGCGGGCAGGAAUAGUAGGUGUUUCCAUUUUCUCCUCCUCUCACCAGCUCGGAGUGCUGCUGGGGUUGAGCCUUUUCUUUUCCACCUGUCUGAGGUCUAGGAAGGUAGAACCCUGCCCCUUUCCUUCCUCCACUCUCUCCCUUUCCUGGGCCUUUGGAGUGGGGCAGUUGCUGACCAGUGUGUGACCGCUGACCACGUGUCCCCCUCUCCGGCGUUGGAGGCAAGAAAGGCGCAGCGCAGGGCCGCAUGCCAGUAUUUCUGAGACUCAAAAAGGCUCCUGCCAUUCUGAUUCUUUUUCUUUUUCUGUCUGUUCUCGUUUGCUUUGUUUUCAUCUUUCUGCGUGUUUGUAUUCUCUCCGGGAGCCGCAGCGCCCUGUAUUUCUGCCCUUUUGCGGGAGGCAGGCGGUGAGGUGCAGCGGUGAAGGGUGCUCUUUGGAAAGCUGGUGUUGGAACCUUGUUUUUGUGCCUUUCUGCUUGUAUGACCUUGGGUAGGUGUUGUGUGAACCUCGUGGAGAUUCAGUUUCUUCAUCUGUAAAAUGGAAAUAAUAAUGAUAACAAUACCUAUCUCAAAGGCUGUUGUGUCAAAUGAGUUGUUGCUGUUAAUGUACUUUAAAAAAGACCAUUAAACACCAAGCACCGCAAAAUGGCUAUGAUAGAACUUACAGUUGGAGCUCAGGGUUGCAUGUUUAAUGCACCCCUAUUUUGGUUUGUGAGCUCCAGGAAGGCAGAGGGUGUGGGGAUGGGGUGGGGAUGUCUGUCUUGUUUACUGUCAUAUCUUCAUUAAAAUUUUUAGAAGGCCUAAAGUCCGUUUUGUUUGUCCUGUAUGAUAAAAAUGAACUAUAAUCAUGAUGUAUAAUUGCUUAUCCAUUAAAAUUAGGAUUUAGUGGGGUGUGAUGGCUCAUGCCUGUAAUCCCAGCUUCCUGGGAGGCUGAAGCAAGUUUGAGUCCAGCCUGGGAAACGUGUGAGAUCUUGUCUCAAAACAACAAAUCAGAAUGGGAUGAGGAUGGAAAUUCAGUGCCAAGGCCCUAAUGUCAAUCUCCACUAACGCCAAUAAAAUCAGCAUGUAAAAUAUUGGCUAGAAUAUAAGAUGAGCGCUUUGUUUUAUGGUGCACAGAAUGUAAAAUGGUAGAAACUUUUUGGAAGACAAUUUGACAGUAUGUGGGAAGAGCCUGAAAAAAAAUCAACCAAUAAGAGUACUGUUAAUUUCUUUUUAGAUGAGCGCUCAGGCAUUCCUAAGUUUUAAAUACAAAGAUAUUCCUAAGCACACUUACUAUUUUAUUAAAAAUCACUGACAACUGAACAUAAGUACUUAAGUGGUUAAAUAAAUGACGACCUGCCCACUUGAUGGAAUAUUACACAGUCAUUAAGCGAACCUUUCCGUGGAAUAGUUAAUGAUGUGGGAAACUUGCCUGAUACAAGUUUAAGUGUUGAAUGGAUAAGGAAAACGUGGUUUACACAAAAUGCAGAGCUAUUGUGCUAUAAGGAAAGAUAAAUUUAAGUCAUAUUUGUAGGAAAAUGAAUGCAGCUCAAAACGAUAUUGUUAGAUGAAAUAAAUCAGAUACACAAGCUUAAAUAUUGAAUGGCUUCUCUUACAGUAAAUGCAAAGUAUAAAUAGGCAGUGAAAUAAAAGAUGAUAGGAAGCGGAAAGAUUUUUCUGAGAGGGGAAGGGAUUAAGAGAUGGAGGAAGGAGGCAGGGAAAGGAAGGAAAUAAAUGGGCAAGAAAAGGAAUUAAGAUGUUUAUGUAUAUGUACCAGCUCCACACAAGAAUAUAAACAUUAUAUUUUACAAACGUACCACUAAUAAAUAAAAAUUUAAAAAAGAAUGGACACAUUGCUUACCUUCUAGAGUCCCAAUUUCUUUUAUCUGUACAAUUAUGGUAAUAAUAGUAGCUGUGUCACAAGAUUGUUACAAAAGUAUUUUCAAAAGCUUAAACUUGUAUUGUGUUAAUACUUAUCAGCUCUGGGCAUUGGAAUAAAGCUUUAAUAAAUGAUAGCUCCUGCCAUGAAACAUAUGUAACAGAACAGGACUGGAAGGAAAUUGAUCAGGGUGUUUAACAAUGCCCAGCUGGGCUCAAACUUGUGACGCUGCCUCAGUUUUCCAGGGUGCUAGAAUCACAGGUAUGUGCCAGCACGUCUGGAAGACUGUGGGAAUUUCAUUUCAUAUAUUUUAUAAAGUAAAAUGUGUGGGAAGGGACUGUACAGAUUGGACCAUAGUAGGUACUCAAUAAAAGGUAUUCGGUGUUGUCCAGUUUUCUGUAUUCCUUUUGCCUUUGUUAAUUAAUUAGUGAACCUUGACAUGUAUUUUAUGGCAGCCACUAGGUUAGACGGCAGGGUGGACUGCUUGGGAACUUUUUUUUUUUGUGUUGCGAGUCCAAUUCUGUUCGCAUCAUCUUCUAUUUUAAGGUCCUCCUAAAUAAUC